UGGCCGUCGUCAGCUCGUGCCGUGAGAUGUUGGGUUAAGUCCCGCAACGAGCGCAACCCCCGCCGUUAGUUGCCAGCGGUUCGGCCGGGCACUCUAACGGGACUGCCCGCGAAAGCGGGAGGAAGGAGGGGACGACGUCUGGUCAGCAUGGCCCUUACGGCCUGGGCGACACACGUGCUACAAUGCCCACUACAAAGCGAUGCCACCCGGCAACGGGGAGCUAAUCGCAAAAAGGUGGGCCCAGUUCGGAUUGGGGUCUGCAACCCGACCCCAUGAAGCCGGAAUCGCUAGUAAUCGCGGAUCAGCCAUGCCGCGGUCGAAUACGUUCCGGGCCUU
rnacentral:rRNA from 1 species